GGGGGAAUGACGAAGUAGGCAGGCAAUGGAUUGAAAUCUGUGCGAUCGAUUCGUUUGGAAUUAUUAGUGUUGGUACCAGCUAACUUGUAGGGUAAGUCCAGGAUACAUGCCUCAGUGGGAUAGAUGACUUGAUUUUUAUUUCACUAUGUUAGGAGCACUGUGAGAGUUAAAUUUCUCUAUAAGUAACGAGUCCUCCCCCCACCAACCUCAGUGCCAGGCAGACUGUGGACAGGAGCGCAAGAGUUUCGUCCGUGUGAGUAAAAAUCUUCCGCGGCGAGACGACAAAAGGCGCCAAAAUAAGAUUCGAGAGCAAAAUGCCUCGUAAAUAUAAAAGAAAACCGGGUGUUAUCCCUCGCGCUGUUACCUGGACCGAAGAAAGUAUGCUAGCAGCGUUUGAAGAGAUGAAAAAGGGAGACAAGGGUGUAAAUCAGAUUUCUAAAAUUUAUGGCAUACCAUCUAGAACAUUAAGACGAAGAUUUCUUAAAAAUGACCAACAAAAAUUGACAUUAGGUAUGUUCUAGUUUAUUUUAAGAAUUACUAUAUUUACUAUCUUUUAA